CGCAUGCUUAGAACACUAGGAAUCGUACUUGAUAUUAGUCGUGAAAUGUAAAUAUGACUGGCACAUUUGGACUAGACAGAUGAUCUCAUCUCUGGCUGCCAACUGAGAAUAUUGGUACACAGUGUAACUUGCAAUAGGUGACCAGUGAUAGCCCGGGAGUGUCAGCCAAAGUAAAACUUCCCUGUACUGUACGUUGCCUGGAGUAGAACCAAGGAAAAGUUCUGAUGCGUACCAGGGGGACAAAUUCUGUGUUAAAACUAUUUAACCGUAAGGUCAGACAGUGCCCAGACACUCUUGUAACCAUAACUAUUUCAUUGAGAUGAAGUUGUUAUAUGAUGA